rnacentral:rRNA from 1 species
UACGAAGGGGGCUAGCGUUGCUCGGAAUUACUGGGCGUAAAGCGCACGUAGGCGGAUCUUUAAGUCAGGGGUGAAAUCCUGGAGCUCAACUCCAGAACUGCCUUUGAUACUGAGGAUCUUGAGUUCGGGAGAGGUGAGUGGAACUGCGAGUGUAGAGGUGAAAUUCGUAGAUAUUCGCAAGAACACCAGUGGCGAAGGCGGCUCACUGGCCCGAUACUGACGCUGAGGUGCGAAAGCGUGGGGAGCAAACAGG